GGGUCGAUGGCGUAGCUGGUUAUCGCAUCUGUCUAACAUACCCACCCACUAUGGCUACACAGAAGGUCCUCAGUUCGAACCUGGGUCGACUCA